rnacentral:misc_RNA from 1 species
GAUGAAGAACGUAGCGAAAUGCGAUAAGUAAUGUGAAUUGCAGAAUUCAGUGAAUCAUCGAAUCUUUGAACGCACCUUGCACCCUUUGGUAUUCCGAAGGGUAUGCUCGUUUGAGUGUCAUUGUACUCUCACACUUCUAAUUCCUUUCGGGAUUGGGAGCGGUGGACUUGGGUGUUGCUGCUUUAGUUGUGGCUCACCUCAAAUAAGUUAGUGCAACUCUUGGUUGGACAUAGUACGGCGUGAUAAGUGUCUUCGCCGGCGCCUCUGUAAGGAGGGUGGCCGAUCGGGAGCUCUGUGCUUCAAACCGUCUUCGGACAAUCUUUGACAACUUGACCUCAAAUCGAGUAGGACUACCCGCUGAACUUAAGGAUAUCAAUAAGCGGAGGA